CUUCCUUCUCCCCCUCUCUGAAAGCAUGUACAUCAGUGAGUCUUAAGGGAGCAAUCACACUUGUUCACAAUGAAGGAAUUUGAUCUCCUGGUAAUUAUAGAUGGAAAAUCACAACAUUGGGAAUGUCUUCAUUUGAACAGAGGGGGAUUCCUGCCAAGACUUGGAUUGUCUUGGAAGAAGGAGAGUGCUGUCAGGAUCACAGGAUGCCAAGCCGGAAAAUUCGGGGGCCAGAUCCUGUGGCUGGAGAAAGCGGGUGCAAUGCCACUGACUUCAGCAGAGCUCUGACUUGUGUCAGCUGAGGAUGCAGCUCCUGUGGAACUGUGCUGGGAUCCUGAGAAAUGCUGCGGGGUGAAAGCUUGCCUUUCAAAACACAGCAGAUGACGUCUGAAACCCAGUAUUCUGUUUAAUAUCAUGUACAAUUCCUCUCCACCAGCUCUGUGUAGUCUGGCCCUUCAGUCCGAGUGACAUCUGGUGUCAAUAAUUGUUUUUUACUUUUUAGUAGUUUUGUUAAAGGCAAAUAACUUUCACAUAGGGCUAAUGGAGGAGCUACCAUCUUAGCUGAUGGAUGUGUCGUGCAGCCCAAAGCUGAAGAGAGUGAAUCGCAAAAGUGAUCAUGGACUACAGCUCUGCACCUCCAACAGGGCCUCUCAUCUUGCAACUCUCAGUACUUUUCUACCCCCCGCCCCAGCAAAAACUUGUCCAGAAGCUGGUCUGAGAUGGAUGUAAGACCAUCUGGUGACCAGUGCGUCAAUCAAUGAGAUCAGCCCUGGCUUCUCCUGCCCAGGUGGCUGCCACCAGCUCUGCCCAGCUGCAUCAGCUUACCCAGUGGAGGGGAUUUGAAUGGACCCGAUGCCAAAGUCUGGAAUAAUUCUUCAAUUGUGCUUACACUGGAGUCAUUUAUUUUGGUGCCAGAACCUGGAACAGGAGUAGCUGUUGGAUUUCUCGUUCCCUCCUUGGUCCAGGAGCCUGUGCAAGACUGUUUCCAUCACGAUCAUCAGAUACCAGCGCUCUCUAAUGUAUCAGGAAGAAAAGUCCAAGUUCCACUGAGUGGAAGUUCUUGUGAAAUGUAGAGUCAGAAACAUGGGAGCGACCUUAUUGAAGCAGACCAUUUAGUUUCAGUCUAAACACCAGAGCGGGGAGAAAAUGGCAAGCAGAAAUACCAAAUCAUACGGCAGGAGCCAUUGCCUGAAUUGAGAGGGAGGAGCAGUCCCAGUUGCCGAGGCUCAGCACCCCAUGGCAGAGGGAGCACUCGGCGGAUCAAGAGUUU